rnacentral:rRNA from 1 species
GACGAACGCUGGCGGCGUGCCUAAUACAUGCAAGUAGAACGCUGAAGGAGGAGCUUGCUUCUCUGGAUGAGUUGCGAACGGGUGAGUAACGCGUAGGUAACCUGCCUGGUAGCGGGGGAUAACUAUUGGAAACGAUAGCUAAUACCGCAUAAAAUUGAUUAUCGCAUGAUAAUCCAUUGAAGGGUGCAAAUGCAUCACUACCAGAUGGACCUGCGUUGUAUUAGCUAGUUGGUGGGGUAACGGCUCACCAAGGCGACGAUACAUAGCCGACCUGAGAGGGUGAUCGGCCACACUGGGACUGAGACACGGCCCAGACUCCUACGGGAGGCAGCAGUAGGGAAUCUUCGGCAAUGGACGGAAGUCUGACCGAGCAACGCCGCGUGAGUGAAGAAGGUUUUCGGAUCGUAAAGCUCUGUUGUAAGAGAAGAACGAGUGUGAGAGUGGA